CCUACGGGAGGCAGCAGUAGGGAAUAUUGCUCAAUGGGGGAAACCCUGAAGCAGCAACGCCGCGUGGAGGAUGAAGGUUUUAGGAUUGUAAACUUCUUUUGUGAGAGAAGAUAAUGACGGUAUCUCACGAAUAAGCACUGGCUAACUCCGUGCCAGCAGCCGCGGGAAUACGGAGGGUGCAAGCGUUACUCGGAAUCACUGGGCGUAAAGAGUGCGCAGGCGGGUUUGUAAGUCCGAUGGGAAAACCUGUAGCUUAACUACAGAACUGCAUUUGAAACUGUGGGUCUAGAGUGUGGGAGAGGUAGGUGGAAUUCUUGGUGUAGGGGUAAAAUCCGUAGAUAUCAAGAAGAAUACUCAUUGCGAAGGCGACCUACUGGAAUGUUACUGACGCUCAUGCACGAAAGCGUGGGGAGCAAACAGGAUUAGAUACCCGGGUAGUC
rnacentral:rRNA from 1 species